UUUAGGGUCGGCAACGCGCAUGUAACUCCUCUGGAGUUGCAGGCGUACAUAGGCUACGGAGACUGCUUAACAUCAGGCGGGCCCUAUGCUUGUUUGCCACCGACUUAGUAUUAAAAAAAAA